rnacentral:lncRNA from 1 species
UAGACAGAUGAGUUCAAAAUGGCUCAGAACCUCUGUGCUCAGAACCUCAGCACCCACAAGCCAGCCAGGACUCCGUAGCUUGGGAAGCAAGGGGUGUCUGCAGAACCCAGAGGACCCAGAACAGGAUGAGCUUCAAGAGCUACGCACAUAAUUUAGUCUUAAACCCUGGAGUUCGGAGCAAGAGGCAGCUGGGCACUUAGCCUGUUUCCCAGCUCUCAGGGAACAGGACAGAGCUGUCUUCCUUCCUUCCUUCCGGGCUGGGACACACUGCCAGAGCACAAGGGGUCACGGAGAGCCCAGCAGAACCUCCGAGGACCGAGGAGUAGAGGGCUAGCUACCGUGAUGAAUUCCUUGACCGUCAUCCCCUGCACUUCCACUGAGCUUCUCCAGCUCACAGCCCGAAUCCUCUAAGGAGGGCAGUGCAGCAUGGAGAUUAAAGACUUGAAUUGUGGGUCAGUGGGCUCCAGGCUGCAGGGCUGCCUCUGUGCCAGACUACCUGCCUGUUUCCAGCUGUGUGACCUUCAGCAAGCGACUUCACCUCUCUGGUCCUUUUUCUUGUCCACAAAAAUGUGAAUGACACCAGAAGGUCCCUCUCAGGACUUUUGGUGGGGCUAAGAUGAUGUGCGUGCACCAAGCGCCCAGGACCCACCACCCACCCUGCCGCACAGAGAGCAUCUAGAAAUAUGUAGCAACUGCUAAAGAUCCACAGAACUAGACGGUAUGGAGAGUGUGUUCCUGAACACCAAAAACCUCUUCUCUGGCUGGAAGACACAGUGAACUGGUUCUGGAACGGCUCAGAGAUUCCUCACGCUACCCCGGGCUGCAGAAGCUGACCCCCUUGGGCCAGUCUGUGGCCCCAGGCUGGGUUUCAACAUCAGUACUCUGUGACUGACUUCCCCUCUCUGCUCCCAAUGUCUUCAUCUAAGAAGUAAAAUCCUGCAUGGUGUCCAGGUCUCCGGGGUCUCUGGUCUCAUCAUCAACCUGAUGAUACUUUCUGCUAGAUUGACAUCUCUGGUCCUGGUUAAAUUCUGAGUGUUUGCUUAAGCCUUGUUGUCAAGGCCUCAGUGGGUGCCUUCAGUACCUUUCCAGUCCUCAAAGUAGCCUGGACAGAUAAGUCACUGUAUACUCGUUGUACAGAUGGGGAAACCGAGGUACAGAAAUAGGCAUUCGACACGACAACUCCCUAUACAAGUGAUACCCAUGAGAUGGGAGUCUAACUCAUAUUGGUCAAAUUCAACCUUGUACCCUGGUGUUGUCUCCACCCAGACUCUCUAGGGCUCUGAGCCAGUAAAUCACCAGACUUCUCCAUGGGUCUGUCACCUUGGACACGUGAUUUUGCAACUGUGAUGGUGGCCAUACGGCAAGACCAGACCCCAAAGUGGAUGAGCCCAUGCAACCCCGUCAUCACUGGGAUCCACAUGAGGAGAAAGCCAGCUCAAUCCGGCUUGAACAUCCAUGCAUAGUGCUGUGUGCUUGUACUGCAGAGGCAUCUGCACCAGGUGUGUGAGGCGAGGCCCUCGGGAGCCAACCCCACCCUGGAGCGCCUCAGUGAUGGGAGAACCCCAGAAAAGCCCAGACAGGACCACCAGGUCUAGGUUUACAAACUGCUUCUUCCUCCUUCUCCUUCUGAAGCCACAGGAACACCUGAGUCCCACUGGGGAGUCAUGUGACUACACUCCAGCUUGUGUAGCCCAGAGCUGAAGAGACCCCCACACACACAUCGUUGAAACUGCCCUUACCCCCUUACCCAGUCUGUAGAUAGGAGAAUGAGAAGUCUGGUGAACAGGGACCAUCACC